GACGACGAAGCUCAAAGGAUGAGCGCAGGGCUUGCCCUGUGGAGCGGGAUCGAUACCCGCCGUCGCCA